rnacentral:tmRNA from 1 species
GGGGCUGAUUUGAAUUUCGACAGGAUUUAGAUGGCUCUAGCUGCAUGCCAACUUGCACGAAGUUGUAAAACCCGUGCAUUAAAUAUAAACGCAAAUAACGCAAAUUACGCUCCAGCUUACGCUAAAGCUGCGUAAGUUUAUUUAACCUUUGGGGCUAUUUUUGGUAAAGAUUCUAGCUAUUUUCCAAAAAUAUCAUUUAUGCUAGAUGCAAUCUUGCCUCGCCAAAGCAAGAUGAAGUUUUGGCUGUCUUUGUGAAUGAUUUUAGGAAGUUUUGCUUCACAAAAAAGAUUAAAACCCUAAAAAGCAUGUAAUCCAGCAGUGUUGGUCUAAUUUUUGGACUGGGGUUUGAUUCCCCACAGCUCCACCA